GCCCUGGUGCUGGAAUUGGCAGACAGGCACGGUUCAGAACCGUGUGUCCGCAAGGACGUGAGAGUUCAACUCUCUCCCGGGGCA
rnacentral:tRNA from 1 species